rnacentral:rRNA from 1 species
GACGAACGCUGGCGGCGUGCUUAACACAUGCAAGUCGAACGGAAAGGCCCUGCUUUUGUGGGGUGCUCGAGUGGCGAACGGGUGAGUAACACGUGAGUAACCUGCCCUUGACUUUGGGAUAACUUCAGGAAACUGGGGCUAAUACCGGAUAGGAGCUCCUGCUGCAUGGUGGGGGUUGGAAAGUUUCGGCGGUUGGGGAUGGACUCGCGGCUUAUCAGCUUGUUGGUGGGGUAGUGGCUUACCAAGGCUUUGACGGGUAGCCGGCCUGAGAGGGUGACCGGCCACAUUGGGACUGAGAUACGGCCCAGACUCCUACGGGAGGCAGCAGUGGGGAAUAUUGCACAAUGGGCGGAAGCCUGAUGAAGCAACGCCGCGUGCGGGAUGACGGCCUUAGGGUUGUAAACCGCUUUCGCCUGUGACGAAGCGUGAGUGACGGUAAUGGGUAAAGAAGCACCGGCUAACUACGUG